rnacentral:rRNA from 1 species
CCUACGGGAGGCAGCAGUGGGGAAUUUUGGACAAUGGGGGCAACCCUGAUCCAGCAAUGCCGCGUGAGUGAAGAAGGCCUUCGGGUUGUAAAGCUCUUUUGUCAGGGAAGAAACAGCAGCUCUAACACAGUCUGCGAAUGACGGUACCUGAAGAAUAAGCACCGGCUAACUACGUGCCAGCAGCCGCGGUAAUACGUAGGGUGCGAGCGUUAAUCGGAAUUACUGGGCGUAAAGCGUGCGCAGGCGGUUAUACAAAACAGGCGUGAAAUCCCCGGGCUUAACCUGGGAAUGGCGUCUGUGACUGUAUAGCUAGAGUGUGUCAGAGGGGGGUGGAAUUCCACGUGUAGCAGUGAAAUGCGUAGAUAUGUGGAGGAACACCAAUGGCGAAGGCAGCCCCCUGGGAUAACACUGACGCUCAUGCACGAAAGCGUGGGGAGCAAACAGGAUUAGAUACCCUGGUAGUCCACGCCCUAAACGAUGCUGACUAGUUGUUGGGAAUUUACAUUCUCAGUAACGUAACUAACGCGUGAAGUCAGCCGCCUGGGGAGUACGGUCGCAAGAUUAAAACUCAAAGGAAUUGACGG